rnacentral:misc_RNA from 1 species
AGGGGAAAACUGGACGAGCUUAACGCUUGGCCACGUUGGCCACGUUGGCGAUAAACGUUCUUUGUCAGUUGUGUCUGUCAUGCCUUCAAAGCAAAGGUAGGCUAUUGAAUAAGCCCAGACGUGAAAGGAUUUACACGGGAUAUGUGAAUUUGUGCUGUCAUAAAAUUUGAAGGUUAGCCUCCCUGCAAAUCAUCGUGGUCAUGGUGGUAAUGACGUCAUGAAUGCAAACUCACACGGACUGUCACUCCCAGUCCAUCCUCGGAUUGACAGUCUGUGCCACACUAGUCUGCUAGUGGGGUUAGAAUGCAAACAUUCUUUCACCAACAUGUGCAUACAGUAAAUGUAUGUAGGCUAAAUCUACAUCAUGUACCUAGCCAAAAUGGCCAAUGUUGGACGACACUUAAUGUACUGUCGACAGACUUUAUACACUUGAACAUGAUGAAGGAUGAGAUCAGAGCGAGAGGAAGAUGAUGGAGCGAGGAGUGGCCGAUGUGUGGACAGCAUCACCGGACAGAGCAGAAUCAGGUGCAGGAGAAAAUCAAGCUCCAAUGAGGACUUGGAUGACAGCGACCCUGACAGUGAUGAGGAACAAGAACAGUGGAUGGAGAAACCAGAAGACUUGGGAGGGCCUUGUUGCCAGGUGAAUGCACUGCAAUGGCUGUCUGCGCUGAUGCAGCCUAACGCAUCCCGUGUUGUGGAGCUAGUGGACUGACCAGCGAUGAAAUCUCCAAAGUUGAAGAUGCAGGUUUAAGCAGCAGCAGGUGCAGGAGAAAAUCAAGCUCCAAUGAGGACUUGGAUGACAGUGACCCUGACAGUGAUGAGGAACAAGAACAGUGUAUGGAGAAACCAGCAGCUGGUGUUAAAAGUGAUCACAGUGUGGUUGGUACCAUGCCUCUGGGCUCAUCUUCUUGCAUCUCUGCAGUGGUAGAGCAAAGUGAUACUGGUAGCAGCGUGGUUGGUCCCUUUCCUGUGGUCUCAUCUUCUGGCGUCACUGCCCUGAUAGAGCAGGGCAAUAGCAGCGUGGUUGGUCCCCUGCCUGUGGGCUCAUCUUCUGGCAUCACUGCCCUGAUAGAAUUUGGGAGGGCCUUGUUGCCAGGUGAAUGCACUGCAAUGGCUGUCUGCACUGAUGCUGGCUAACGCAUCCGGCUUUGUGGUGCGAGUGGACUGACCAGUGAUGAGAUCUCCAAAGUUGAAGAUGCAGGUUACGUUCCUCAUGAGUAGCAGCAGACGUCGUCUUAUGAAAGCUGUGUGUAUGCCCAAGGUGAACCUGAUCUAUGGUGCUGGUGAGAAGAGCGCCCUCGCCUCCUUCAACAAGGACAGAAUCAAGAUGGAGGGCCCUGUGAUCACUUCUGAGAGAUGAUUCACGAGAAAGUCAAGGAUAGGAACUCAGAUAGAUGGCAGUCCUCGUCUUCGUCACUGAGGAGGAAAAGUUUCCAAGAUCCUGGUCAGAAUCUUAGGCACAAUAAGCAGGGAUUCACAAAGGCAAGGAAAGGACUCAGUCUUCAAAGAGAUGCAGUUCCUUGCUUCCAUUGUAGUGAUGGAGCAAGCCUGUGUGCAUUUUACAUGUACCGGUACAUGAAUAUAUAUUGGUAUACAGUAACAAGGCUGCUAUCAUGAGCAGGGCAGUGCCCACACGAAUUCUUGGAGUAGCAUACCUGCCAGUUGUCCUGAUUUAAUUGGAACCAUUUAUUGAGGUUUCAAAAGCCCAAAAAUUGAAGCAUCCCAGUUUCCAUAUCAAGGAGAAAAGGUCUGGAGAAAUACGAGGAAUACCAUUUUCAGAAUAAACAGUGCCAUUUUCAGAAGAAAAAGAGGGCACCAUUUGCAGAAAAGAGGGUAUUAUUUUCAGAAAAAAAAGGAGCACUUUUUCAGAAAGAAGAGGGCAUCACUUUCAGAAUAAAAAGGGCACUAUUUUCCAAAAAAAAGGGCACCAUUUCCGAAAAAAAGAGGACACUGUUUUAAAAAAAGA